GCCCAUGUAGCUCAGUAGGUAGAGCACAUCCUUGGUAAGGAUGAGGUCUGCAGUUCAAUUCUGCACAUGGGCUCCA
rnacentral:tRNA from 1 species